rnacentral:rRNA from 1 species
UGAGGAAUAAAGCUAGGGAUAACUCUGGCGCUAUAGGAGUAGCCUGCGUCCGAUUAGCUAGUUGGUGGGGUAAAGGCCUACCAAGGCGACGAUCGGUAGCUGGUCUGAGAGGAUGAUCAGCCACACUGGAACUGAGAGACGGUCCAGACUUCUACGGGAGGCAGCAGUGGGGAAUAUUGGACAAUGGGGGGAACCCUGAUCCAGCGAUGCCGCGUGUGUGAAGAAGGCCUGCGGGUUGUAAAGCACUUUCGUUGGGGAGGAGAGGUAUAGGGUUAAGAGCUAUAUACUGAGACGUUACCCAAAGAAGCAGCACCGGCUAACUCCGUGCCAGCAGCCGCGGUAAUACGGAGGGUGCGAGCGUUAAUCGGAAUUACUGGGCGUAAAGGGUGCGUAGGUUGUUGAAUAAGUUAACUGUGAAAUUCCUGGGCUCAACCUGGGCUGGUCAGUUAAGACUGUUUAACUAGAGUAUAGUAGAGGGUAUUGGAAUUUCCGGUGUAGCGGUGAAAUGCGUAGAGAUCGGAAGGAACACCGGUGGCGAAGGCGGAUACCUGGGCUAAUACUGACACUGAGGCACGAAAGCGUGGGUAGCAAACAGGAUUAGAUACCCUGGUAGUCCACGCUGUAAACGCUGUCAACUAGCUGUUGUUCAUAUAGAAAUGAUUAGUAGCGAAGCAAACGCGGUAAGUUGACCGCCUGGGGAGUACGGUCGCAAGAUUAAAACUCAAAGGAAUUGACGGGGGCCCGCACAAGCGGUGGAGCAUGUGGUUUAAUUCGAUGCAACGCGAAGAACCUUACCUACCCUUGACAUACAGUGAACCUGAUAGAGAUA